AUUGAACGCUGGCGGCAUGCUUUACACAUGCAAGUCGAACGGCAGCGCGGGCUUCGGCCUGGCGGCGAGUGGCGAACGGGUGAGUAAUAUAUCGGAACGUACCCAGGAGUGGGGGAUAACGUAGCGAAAGUUACGCUAAUACCGCAUACGUCCUACGGGAGAAAGCGGGGGAUCGCAAGACCUCGCGCUCAUGGAGCGGCCGAUAUCUGAUUAGCUAGUUGGUGGGGUAAAGGCUCACCAAGGCAACGAUCAGUAGCUGGUCUGAGAGGACGACCAGCCACACUGGGACUGAGACACGGCCCAGACUCCUACGGGAGGCAGCAGUGGGGAAUUUUGGACAAUGGGGGCAACCCUGAUCCAGCAAUGCCGCGUGAGUGAAGAAGGCCUUCGGGUUGUAAACUGCUUUUGUCAGGGAAGAAAUCCUCUGGGUUAAUACCUCGGGGGGAUGACGGUACCUGAAGAAUAAGCACCGGCUAACUACGUGCCAGCCGCCGCGGUAACAC
rnacentral:rRNA from 1 species